rnacentral:rRNA from 1 species
GAUGAACGCUGGCGGCGUGCCUAAUACAUGCAAGUCGAGCGAACAGACGAGGAGCUUGCUCCUUCGACGUUAGCGGCGGACGGGUGAGUAACACGUAGGUAACCUACCUAUAAGACUGGGAUAACUUCGGGAAACCGGAGCUAAUACCGGAUAAUAUUUCGAACCGCAUGGUUCGAUAGUGAAAGAUGGCUUUGCUAUCACUUAUAGCUGGACCUGCGCCGUAUUAGCUAGUUGGUAAGGUAACGGCUUACCAAGGCAACGAUACGUAGCCGACCUGAGAGGGUGAUCGGCCACACUGGAACUGAGACACGGUCCAGACUCCUACGGGAGGCAGCAGUAGGGAAUCUUCCGCAAUGGGCGAAAGCCUGACGGAGCAACGCCGCGUGAGUGAUGAAGGUCUUCGGAUCGUAAAACUCUGUUAUUAGGGAAGAACAAACGUGUAAGUAACUGUGCACGGCUUGACGGUACCUAAUCAGAAAGCCACGGCUAACUACGUG